rnacentral:precursor_RNA from 13 species
GGAGAGAAGAUCCUGAGGCCUGUUGCCACAAACCCGUAGAUCCGAACUUGUGGUGAUUGUCCACACAAGCUUGUGUCUACAGGUCUGUGUCUGUGAGGCGCUGUCACAGACCCGGGC